GUGGGGGAUAACGUUCGGAAACGGACGCUAAUACCGCAUACGUCCUACGGGAGAAAGCAGGGGACCUUCGGGCCUUGCGCUAUCAGAUGAGCCUAGGUCGGAUUAGCUAGUUGGUGAGGUAAUGGCUCACCAAGGCGACGAUCCGUAACUGGUCUGAGAGGAUGAUCAGUCACACUGGAACUGAGACACGGUCCAGACUCCUACGGGAGGCAGCAGUGGGGAAUAUUGGACAAUGGGCGAAAGCCUGAUCCAGCCAUGCCGCGUGUGUGAAGAAGGUCUUCGGAUUGUAAAGCACUUUAAGUUGGGAGGAAGGGCCAUUACCUAAUACGUGAUGGUUUUGACGUUACCGACAGAAUAAGCACCGGCUAACUCUGUGCCAGCAGCCGCGGUAAUACAGAGGGUGCAAGCGUUAAUCGGAAUU
rnacentral:rRNA from 1 species